GUGCCAGCCGCCGCGAUAAUUCCAUGUCUCCAAUAGCGUAUAUUAAAGUUGUUGUGGUUAAGGAAGCUCGUAGUUGAACCUUGGGCCUGGCUGGCCGGUCCGCCUCACCGCGUGCACUGGUCCGGCCGGGCCUUUCCCUCUGUGGAACCCCAUACCCUUCACUGGGCGUGGCGGGGAAACAGGACAUUUACUUUGAAAAAAUUAGAGUGCUCCAGGCAGGCCUAUGCUCGAAUACAUUAGCAUGGAAUAAUAAAAUAGGACGCGCGGUUCUAUUUUGUUGGUUUAUAGGACCGCCGUAAUGAUUAAUAGGGACAGUCGGGGGCAUCAGUAUUCAACUGCCAGAGGUGAAAUUCUUGGAUCAGUUGAAGACUAACUACUGCGAAAGCAUUUGCCAAGGAUGUUUUCAUUAAUCAGGAACGAAAGUUAGGGGGAUCGAAGACGAUCAGAUACCGUCGUAGUCUUAACCAUAAACUAUGCCGACUAGGGAUCGGGACGGUGUUAUUCAUGACCCGUUCGGCACCUUACGAGAAAUCAAAGUGCUUUGGGCUCCAGGGGGGAGUAUGGUCGCAAGCUGGAAACCCUAAAGAAAUUGACGGAAGGGCACCACCAGGGGGGGAGCCUGCGGCUUAAUUUGGACUCAACACGGGGAAACUCACCAGGUCCAGACACAAUAAAGGAUUGACAGAUUGAGAGCCUCUUUCUUGAAUUUGUGUGGGUGGUGCAUGGGCGUUCUUAGUUGGUGGGGUGACUUUGCCUGCCUAAUUGCGAUAAGCAACGAAGCCCUAAAU
rnacentral:rRNA from 1 species